UACACAUGCAGUCGNACGAUGAUAGCNNGAGCUUGCUCUGGUGGAUUAGUGGCGAACGGGUGAGUAACACGUGAGUAACCUGCCCUUGACUCUGGAAUAAGCGUUGGAAACGACGUCUAAUACCGGAUACGAGCUUCCGCCGCAUGGUGAGGAGCUGGAAAGAAUUUCGGUCAAGGAUGGACUCGCGGCCUAUCAGGUAGUUGGUGAGGUAAUGGCUCACCAAGCCUACGACGGGUAGCCGGCCUGAGAGGGUGACCGGCCACACUGGAACUGAGACACGGUCCAGACUCCUACGGGAGGCAGCAGUGGGGAAUAUUGCACAAUGGGCGCAAGCCUGAUGCAGCAACGCCGCGUGAGGGACGACGGCCUUCGGGUUGUAAACCUCUUUUAGUAGGGAAGAAGCGAAAGUGACGGUACCUGCAGAAAAAGCACCGGCUAACUACGNGCCAGCAGCCGCGGUAAUACGUAGGGUGCAAGCGUUAUCCGGAAUUAUUGGGCGUAAAGAG
rnacentral:rRNA from 1 species